rnacentral:rRNA from 1 species
CUUGCCCCGAGAUGAGUUCUCCCUGACUCCUUGAGAGUCCUGAAGGAACGUUGAAGACGACGACGUUGAUAGGCCGGAUGUGUAAGCGCAGCGAUGCGUUGAGCUAACCGGUACUAAUGAACCGUGAGGCUUAACCUU